rnacentral:rRNA from 1 species
UGGGGAAUAUUGCACAAUGGGCGCAAGCCUGAUGCAGCCAUGCCGCGUGUGUGAAGAAGGCCUUCGGGUUGUAAAGCACUUUCAGCGGGGAGGAAGGCGAUAAGGUUAAUAACCUUGUCGAUUGAUGUUACCCGCAGAAGAAGCACCGGCUAACUCCGUGCCAGCAGCCGCGGUAAUACGGAGGGUGCAAGCGUUAAUCGGAAUUACUGGGCGUAAAGCGCACGCAGGCGGUCUGUCAAGUCGGAUGUGAAAUCCCCGGGCUCAACCUGGGAACUGCAUUCGAAACUGGCAGGCCAGAGUCUUGUAGAGGGGGGUAGAAUUCCAGGUGUAGCGGUGAAAUGCGUAGAGAUCUGGAGGAAUACCGGUGGCGAAGGCGGCCCCCUGGACAAAGACUGACGCUCAGGUGCGAAAGCGUGGGGAGCAAACAGG